rnacentral:miRNA from 1 species
GAACAAGGUUCUGCACAAAGG